UACGGAGGGGGCUAGCGUUGUUCGGAAUCACUGGGCGUAAAGUGCACGUAGGCCGAUUGUUAAGUCAGGGGUGAAAUCCUGGAGCUCAACUCCAGAACUGCCCUUGAUACUGACGGUCUCGAGUCCGGGAGAGGUGAGUGGAACUGCGAGUGUAGAGGUGAAAUUCGUAGAUAUUCGCAAGAACACCAGUGGCGAAGGCGGCUCACUGGCCCGGUACUGACGCUGAGGUGCGAAAGCGUGGGGAGCAAACAGG
rnacentral:rRNA from 1 species